rnacentral:misc_RNA from 1 species
CUUAUAUUGUAUGAAUAAAUGUUUGAUAUCCAAGGCACAAGAUGUGAAUGUUAAUAUAGAUGUUUGGUAAUACAAUAUGAAUAAGUUUAGAAAUAAUCACAUUUGCUAAAAAGUGCAUGUAACAUACAUUACAAAUAAAAUGAGAGAAGGUCGAUUGAGAUGAUUUGACUAUAUCUGAUGUAAAGCAUCGAACGCAUUGGCAUAAAAAUGUGCUAAAUUAAUAAUGAAAUGAGUGAUGAAAAAGAGAGACCUAAAAUAACAUAAUGAAAAAUAGUAUCAAAAGAUUUUAAUUUUUGAAUAUUGAUGCGUAAUUAGUUUCAAAUAGAAUUAAAUAACAAAAAAAAUUCAUAUAGCCAACUUCAACUGACUUGAUAUUAAGACUUAGUCGUUGUUAUUGUUAUUUCAAAAUGUAAAUAUUUCAUAAGGUUAGACUAGUUAAAAUGGACUAGUUCAUCACAUAAAACGACACAGUAUGAUUAACCAAUCAGAGUAAUUUUGGUUAAAAUAGAUGCAUAGCAAAUUAC